GUCUCUUCGGGGAUGAUUAAACCGGCGCACGGGUGAGUAACACGUGAGUGACCUGCCUUUUAGACUGGAACAACUUACCGAAAGGUGAGCUAAUGCCGGAUGAGUUAUAUAAGUGCAUGUUUAUAUAGGAAAAGUUGGGGAGACCUGACGCUGAAAGAUGGACUCGCGUCCCAUUAGCUAGUUGGUAGGGUAAUGGCCUACCAAGGCGACGAUGGGUAGCCGGCCUGAGAGGGUGGCCGGCCACACUGGGACUGAGACACGGCCCAGACUCCUACGGGAGGCAGCAGUGGGGAAUUUUGCGCAAUGCUCGUAAGAGUGACGCAGCGACGCCGCGUGAAUGACGAAGGCCUUCGGGUCGUAAAGUUCUUUCGACAGGGAAGAAAAUGCCUAUAAGUAACUGUGUAUGUAUUGACGGUACCUGUAUAAGCAGCCCCGGCUAACUCCGUGCCAGCAGCCGCGGUAAUACGGAGGGGGCGAGCGUUGUUCGGAGUGACUGGGCGUAAAGAGCACGUAGGCGGUGUUGUAAGUCAUUAGUCAAAGACUAGAGCUCAACUUUAGUAAGGCUAGUGAUACUAUAAUACUAGAGUAUCAGAGAGGAUUGCAGAAUUCCUGGUGUAGCGGUGAAAUGCGUAGAUAUCAGGAGGAAUACCGUUAGCGAAGGCGGCAAUCUGGCUGGAAACUGACGCUGAGGUGCGAAAGCGUGGGUAGCAAACAGGAUUAGAUACCCUGGUAGUCCACGCUGUAAACGAUGGAUGCUA
rnacentral:rRNA from 1 species